rnacentral:rRNA from 1 species
UCGGGCGCUGACGAGUGGCGGACGGGUGAGUAACGCGUAGGAAUCUGCCUUAUAGUGGGGGACAACUUAGGGAAACUUAAGCUAAUACCGCAUACGCCCUACGGGGGAAAGCAGGGGAUCUUCGGACCUUGCACUAUUGGAUGAGCCUAUGUCUGAUUAGCUAGUUGGUAGGGUAAUGGCCUACCAAGGCGACGAUCAGUAGCUGGUCUGAGAGGACGAUCAGCCACACUGGGACUGAGAUACGGCCCAGACUCC